GCAAACAUUGAUUCCGAGCAGAGAUGAUGGACACAGAGGCUAGCCAUCACAAGCUCUCCCACAGAAGCUCUUCGAUCGAAGGAGGCGAUUGCAGUGGAAGGGGAUUAUCCAAGGAAGCGAAAGCAGUGGAAGACCUAGUCUUCUUUUCUCAUUAAGAGCUCCAAGACCUGUCUUCUCCAUCAAAGAUCCUUUAUGUGCCUUUUGAAGAGGUUUUGGUAUAAAUUGUAUCGAUUUGGAGUAUUUCACUUGACGUUUCAAUUAGAAGACGACGGCCCAAGUGCCUUGAAGCCGACGGCUGUAUCUGAAGAUCAGACGGUCGCCGAGGAGACAUACACGGGUAAUUGCAUGCUAUCUCCGGUUGAUUCUGGGGAAUGGAAGAACAUGGAGGGUAGAGCUAUCAGAGUAAAUGUAGCGGAGGAGCGCCCAAGGCGAUUUUAAGACUCAUAUCUCUUUCUACCCUUACUUACUCUCCUUAUAUCUCUUGCGUUUUCGUUUAGACGAGAUUCUUACACUCUUUGGAGAAUUUUGUUUGUUUGUUUGGAUUCUGAAUGCGAAGCUUCUUCUAAAGUAAUUUAUAUGUCAUUUGAUAGAAGAGCUUCUGUGGGAGAGCUUGUGAUGGCUAGCCUCUGUGUCCAUCAUCUCUGCCUCGGAAUCAAUGUUUGCAAAAAAGACUAAGCUAGUUCCAUGGACUUUGCAGAUUUCAUUCCUGGAAAAAAAUGGAGGAACCGGAGGGGGGAAGACGACGAAGGAUGACAAAGACAAAAGAGGCUCACAGGCAGCUGGAAACAUGACAUGGAAUAUGUGGGAAUCGCUGUGAGGACCGCCUUGAGUAUGGUGAGCUUGCCUGCUCUCAAUAGGAAGCGUGUUGACCAGCUUGAAGCUCUCUGUCUGAUUAUGUCCACUAUCGAGGAUUUGGACAAGGGAGUGGUAAAUUUCCACAGAAGAUUCGUAGAACAUCAUCGUGUCGUCUGCAAAGAGGAGAUGGUUAACACGGGGGCUGCCUCUAGCCACCCAUAUUCCUAUCAAAGAUCCUUCCAGUUCAGCGCUGCAGAGGCCCGAGAGGACUUCCACACACAUGAUAAAGAGAUAGGGGGAAAUCGGAUCACCUUGUCUGAUACCACGGGAUAAACGCAGACUGGUUCUCGGAGAUGAUCGAGGAGAACCGGCUUUAGUCGCAAGGACAGCAUCUUUGAGAUGAUUUUAUAAUACACGUUGCAGAGAGCAAUGGGAGACAAGAUCUCCGUAGAGAAGAAACUUUGUAUUUCAUUGAUGAUUGACUGGUCUAUGGUCUCCCAGUUUGAGUGGAAAAAGCUCGCCGAGAAGCCAUCAGGUUCCGGUGCUUUGUCUGCGUGGAUAGCAAACAUAGCUUCUUUUAUCUCUGUUGGUGUCAGGUCCCUGUGAACAGCUUGUCGUAGUAGGCGCAAACUAGUGCUGAAAUCUGUUCAUCUUCAAAGAAAGGCACCACGUCUUCAUUCUCUAGGACAAUGAGUCUAUUUCUAGCUUUUCUAGCCUUUGUUACUGCAUGGAAGUACCCUGAAUUGGAAUCUCCUAAUGUCAGCUAUAAUUGGCGACUCCUCUGUUUCCAAUAGGCUUCUUCAGAUUGAUACACCUUUAGGAGAUUUUUAUUUAUUUCCUGAAUUCUGUCUUUAUUUGGAGAAUCCUCCGUCAUUUGGUUCUCAAGUUCCUCACGAAGAUCCUCCAUGAUUUUUCUGCUAUUCUCGUGGAACAGUUUACACCAUUUACAAAUUGCUUUUCGACAGAGCGAGAGCCUUUCCUCUACGCCAAGUGUCCAGGAAAAGAGAUCAGUGGACGGUGAUCAGAGCCCUCAAAUUUGAGAUAUUGGCAACGGCAUGAGGGGAAGAGAUCUGUCCACUCCGGAUUGCUGAGUGCUCUAUCAACCAAAAAUGAAGAGAGGAGCCACAAUUUCAUCAGUGGUUCAUUCCGGUGGAAACAACGAACCAGAAGCAGCUCCUAAACAUGGGCAGGUGGUGGUAUCUGAUUCAAAGGGUGGCGAUAGCUGUGGCUCCUCAUCUGCGCCAGUGUAAGAAUGUUUUAUCUGCAGAGAAGAGAAGAGAAGAGAAGAGAAGUGGCUGAGAUUUCUCAUCAUUGUGUUGUAAUUUGUUGUGAGCUUAGAAUGAUGUAAAUACUAAUUAAAUUGCAAUUUUAAGUACUUUAUCCACCACAGCUUUACUUU